GUUAGAGUGUAGAUGUGGCAGGUAGCCUAGUGGUUAGAGUGUAGAUGUGGCAGGUAGCCUAGUGGUUAGAGUGUAGAGGUGGCAGGUAGCCUAGUGGUUAGAGUGUAGAGGUGGCAGGUAGCCUAGUGGUUAGAGUGUAGAGGUGGCAGGUAGCCUAGUGGUUAGAGUGUAGAGGUGGCAGGUAGCCUAGUGGUUAGAGUGUAGAGGUGGCAGGUAGCCUAGUGGUUAGAGUGUAGAGGUGGCAGGUAGCCUAGUGGUUAGAGUGUAGAGGUGGCAGGUAGCCUAGUGGUUAGAGUGUAGAGGUGGCAGGUAGCCUAGUGGUUAGAGUGUAGAGGUGGCAGGUAGCCUAGUGGUUAGAGUGUAGAGGUGGCAGGUAGCCUAGUGGUUAGAGUGUAGAGGUGGCAGGUAGCCUAGUGGUUAGAGUGUAGAGGUGGCAGGUAGCCUAGUGGUUAGAGUGUAGAGGUGGCAGGUAGCCUAGUGGUUAGAGUGUAGAGGUGGCAGGUAGCCUAGUGGUUAGAGUGUAGAGGUGGCAGGUAGCCUAGUGGUUAGAGUGUAGAGGUGGCAGGUAGCCUAGUGGUUAGAGUGUAGAGGUGGCAGGUAGCCUAGUGGUUAGAGUGUAGAGGUGGCAGGUAGCCUAGUGGUUAGAGUGUAGAGGUGGCAGGUAGCCUAGUGGUUAGAGUGUAGAGGUGGCAGGUAGCCUAGUGGUUAGAGUGUAGAGGUGGCAGGUAGCCUAGUGGUUAGAGUGUAGAGGUGGCAGGUAGACUAGUGGUUAGAGUGUAGAGGCGGCAGGUAGCCUAGUGGUUAGAGCGUUGGACUAGUAACCGAAAGGUUGCAAGAUCGAAUCCCUGAGCUGACAAGGUGAAAAUCUGUCGUUCUGCCCCUGAACAAGGCAGUUAACCCACUGUUCCCCUGUAGGCCGUCAUUGUAAAUAAGAAUUUGUUCUUAACUGACUUGCCAAGUUAAAUAAAGGUUAAAUAAAUCAAAAACAUUAAAAAAGCCACUUAAAGCAUAAAUCCUAGUCCUGAGAUGAGAUUGUCUGCCGUCCCAUUGUGACAUAGCUCCGCGGUUCUGAGGUGAGAUUGUCUGCCGUCCCAUUGUGACAUAGCUCCGCGGUUCUGAGGUGAGAUUGUCUGCCGUCCCAUUGUGACAUAGCUCCGCGGUUCUGAGAUGAGAUUGUCUGCCGUCCCAUUGUGACAUAGCUCCGCGGUUCUGAGAUGAGAUUGUCUGCCGUCCCAUUGUGACAUAGCUCCGCGGUUCUGAGGUGAGAUUGUCUGCCGUCCCAUUGUGACAUAGCUCCGCGGUUCUGAGGUGAGAUUGUCUGCCGUCCCAUUGUGACAUAGCUCCGCGGUUCUGAGGUGAGAUUGUCUGGCGUCCCAUUGUGAUAUAGCUCCGCGGGUCUGGCGUCCCAUUGUGACAUAGCUCCGCGGUUCUGAGGUGAGAUUGUCUGCCGUCCCAUUGUGACAUAGCUCCGUGGUUCUGAGACCACCGUCCAACGUGGUUCCGGUGCUCGUCCUCUAUUCAUUUGAAUGUGUUGACAGGUGGAGAAAUAGCUUGAGAGCCGUGCAGAGAAUUCCAGAAGUAUGAAAGCCAACGGUUCAAUUCUAGAACACUGUUGUGUGUACGAGUAUACGUUUUGGACCAAGGUCAACGCUUUACAGUUAACCUUUCGGGCAUCAUCGCUAGCGUCGUCCCACAUCGACAACAGCCAGUGAAAGUGCAGGGCGCCAAAUUCAAAACAACAGAAAUCCCAUAUUUAAAAUUCCUCAAACAUACAAGUAUUAUACACCAUUUUAAAGAUAAACUUCUUGUUACUCCAACCAUAGUGUCAGGUUUCAAAACGGCUUUACCUUGCGAGUUGUUAGGACAGCGCCUAGCCACAAAACACCAUACAGACAUUUUCCAGCCAAGGAGGACUCACAAAAGUCAGAAAUAGCGAUUAAAUUAAUCACUAACCUUUGCUCUUCAUCUGGUGGCACUCCCAGGACUCCAUGUUACAACAAUAAAUGUUUGUUUUGUUCGAUAAUGUGCCUCUUUAUGUCCAAAAACCUCAGUUUUGUUGGUGCGCUUAAGUUAAGUAAUCCAAAGUGCGCUCUCAACAUCCAGACGAAAAGUCAAAAAAAGUUCAUAGAAACAUGUCAAAAGAUGUUUAAAAUCAAUCCUCAGGUUUUUUUUCUCCAUAAAUAAUCAAUAAUAUUUCAACAGGGCAAAAGCUUCGUCAAUAGAAAAGUAGAAACAAGAAAGGCGCUGGACUCAUGUCUGGAAAUUUCCACUGUCCUCUCAUUGAAAGUGCUGUAUCUCCCUCAUUUUUCAGAGUAAAAGCCUGAAACAAUGCCUAAAGACUGGUCAGAUGUUGAGGAAAUCAUAGAGGUCGUGAACUGGGUCCUAAGUCUUUGUAUGGUGGAUAGGCUUUCAAUGGAUAAACAGCCUUUCAAAAUAAUAGCACUUCCUGGAUGGAUUUUCCUCGGGUUGUCACAUGCCAUAUCAGUUCUGUUAUACUCACAUACAUUAUUUUAACAGUUUUGGAAACUUCAAAGUGUUUUCUAUCCAACUCUACCAAUUAUUUGCAUAUCCUAUAUUCUGGGCCUGAGUAGCAGGCAGUUUAAUUUGGGCACGCUUUUCAUCCAAAAUUCCGAAUGCUGCCCCCUACCCUAGAGAAGUUACGACAGCUAGGUGAGACGUAGUGUCUUCAGAUCGCUAGGUGAGACGACCUCACGUCACAGUCGCAGUGUCUUCAGAUCGCUAGGUGAGACAACCUC